rnacentral:lncRNA from 1 species
GCGUGUCGUCCCGUCCUGUGAAUCUAACAUGUCGACGGCAUCGGAGGAAUAUUAUGAGUGUAGUGACUUUGUAAAGUGACUCUGAGUCUGUCUGUGAUCUACUGGCCAACGAGCUACACUGGAGACCUGAGGGGGAAGAGACCCCACACCCUACACAGAAUACACACCCUACUGUAGAUACUACACAUAGUAUAGAUACUAAACAUACUGCAGUUAGCAUGGAGAAAGAAGAGGCUAAUAAUCAGCUAGCACAGCAGGCUAUCAGUCAGCUAGCACAACAGGCUAACACGCAGCUAGCACAACAGGCUAACAGUCAGCUAGCACAGCAGGCUAACAGUCAGCUAGCACAACAGGCUAACAGUCAGCUAGCACAACAGGCUAACACUCAACUAGCACAACAGGCUAACACUCAACUAGCACAACAGGCUAACACUCAACUAGCACAACGGGCUAACACUCAACUAGCACAACAGGCUAACACUCAACUAGCACAAGAGAAACAGUAGUAUGCUAA